rnacentral:misc_RNA from 1 species
UUGAUUUUUUGUUUUGGUACGUUUUAGACUCCUGAUACUGCGGUUUGAGGGUUUGCUUGGUCCCCGUUGGCGGGCGAGCCCGCCGAGGAAACGGUUGGUACUGGAAGACAGGGGGUGCUAUCUCGGCAGGGGCCCCGGGGGGCCCCCACGGUAAUGAUCCUUCCGCAGGUUCACCUACGGAAA